UUACGGCCACAUCACGUGGAAACAUCGGUUCCUGUACGAUUACCGAAGUUAAGCAACGUUGAGCCUGAUCAGUGCCUAGAUGGUUGACCGCUUGAGAAUACCAGGAACUGUAA